GAUGAACGCUGGCGGCGUGCCUAAUACAUGCAAGUCGAGCGAACAGAUAAGGAGCUUGCUCCUUUGAAGUUAGCGGCGGACGGGUGAGUAACACGUGGGUAACCUACCUAUAAGACUGGGAUAACUUCGGGAAACCGGAGCUAAUACCGGAUAACAUUUAGAACCGCAUGGUUCUAAAGUGAAAGAUGGUUUUGCUAUCACUUAUAGAUGGACCCGCGCCGUAUUAGCUAGUUGGUAAGGUAACGGCUUACCAAGGCGACGAUACGUAGCCGACCUGAGAGGGUGAUCGGCCACACUGGAACUGAGACACGGUCCAGACUCCUACGGGAGGCAGCAGUAGGGAAUCUUCCGCAAUGGGCGAAAGCCUGACGGAGCAACGCCGCGUGAGUGAUGAAGGGUUUCGACUCGUAAAACUCUGUUAUUAGGGAAGAACAAAUGUGUAAGUAACUGUGCACAUCUUGACGGUACCUAAUCAGAAAGCCACGGCUAACUACGUGCCAGCAGCCGCGGUAAUACGUAAGUGGCAAGCGUUAUCCGGAAUUAUUGGGCGUAAAGCGCGCGUAUGCGGUUUCUUAAGUCUGAUGUGAAAGCCCACGGCUCAACUUUUGGAGGGUCAUUGGAAACUGGGAAACUUGAGUGCAGAAGAGGAAAGUGGAAUUCCAUGUGUAGCGGUGAAAUGCGCAGAGAUAUGGAGGAACACCAGUGGCGAAGGCGACUUUCUGGUCUGUAACUGACGCUGAUGUGCGAAAGCGUGGGGAUCAAACAGGAUUAGAUACCCUGGUAGUCCACGCCGUAAACGAUGAGUGCUAAGUGUUAGGGGGUUUCCGCCCCUUAGUGCUGCAGCUAACGCAUUAAGCACUCCGCCUGGGGAGUACGACCGCAAGGUUGAAACUCAAAGGAAUUGACGGGGACCCGCACAAGCGGUGGAGCAUGUGGUUUAAUUCGAAGCAACGCGAAGAACCUUACCAAAUCUUGACAUCCUUUGAAAACUCUAGAGAUAGAGCCUUCCCCUUCGGGGGACAAAGUGACAGGUGGUGCAUGGUUGUCGUCAGCUCGUGUCGUGAGAUGUUGGGUUAAGUCCCGCAACGAGCGCAACCCUUAAGCUUAGUUGCCAUCAUUAAGUUGGGCACUCUAGGUUGACUGCCGGUGACAAACCGGAGGAAGGUGGGGAUGACGUCAAAUCAUCAUGCCCCUUAUGAUUUGGGCUACACACGUGCUACAAUGGACAAUACAAAGGGCAGCUAAACCGCGAGGUCAUGCAAAUCCCAUAAAGUUGUUCUCAGUUCGGAUUGUAGUCUGCAACUCGACUACAUGAAGCUGGAAUCGCUAGUAAUCGUAGAUCAGCAUGCUACGGUGAAUACGUUCCCGGGUCU
rnacentral:rRNA from 1 species